AGGGGAAUCUUAGACAACGGGGGGCAACCAUGAUCCAGCCAUGCCGCGUGAGUGAUGAAGGCCUUAGGGUCGUAAAGCUCUUUCGCCUGUGAUGAUAAUGACAGUAGCAGGUAAAGAAACCCCGGCUAACUCCGUGCCAGCAGCCGCGGUAAUACGGAGGGGGUGAGCGUUGUUCGGAAUUACUGGGCGUAAAGCGCGCGUAGGCGGAUUAGAAAGUUGGGGGUGAAAUCCCGGGGCUCAACCCCGGAACUGCCUCCAAAACUGCUAGUCUAGAGUUCGAGAGAGGUGAGUGGAAUUCCGAGUGUAGAGGUGAAAUUCGUAGAUAUUCGGAGGAACACCAGUGGCGAAGGCGGCUCACUGGCUCGAUACUGACGCUGAGGUGCGAAAGUGUGGGGAGCAAACAGGAUUAGAUACCCUGGUAGUCCACACCGUAAACGAUGAAUGCCAGUCGUCGGAUAGUAUACUAUUCGGUGACACACCUUCGGAUUAAGCAUUCCGCCUGGG
rnacentral:rRNA from 1 species